AGCUGGAAAGAAAAUAUGCAAGCAUUAGAUCAAACUGUCCGGCUUUGAAAUUUUUCAAAUAUUCGUAUGUCGGGGGUAUCGAGAUCGCAGUACAUUUUCUAAUAAAUACAUAUACAAGCAUUGAAUUCUACGCUUGAAAAAAGAUACAGAAGUGAAAUCACCUAGGUAUGCAAACACUAUGGUAAAACCCAUAAUGCCUUAACACAUGAAUCAACUCUGGUGCUGUUCUAGUAAAUCCAAUAAUAGAGAACGUUGCAAGCAGUGUGUUCCAUAGUGCAAGUAUGCCUCUCAGUUCAAACUUUGGUCUAUUCGACAUGUAAUGCUGUCCUCCAAAAAUUAGGAUCAUGUAAAUGCCACAAUAGUAAAAACAGUUUGUCCAAUUCUUUGUCAUCCAUAUCUUAGUAUCCAUAUGAAUGAAUGUCUCUUCGAAGUUGAAGACAUAUGAAUAAUUAGGUACAGUGACCUCCAUAUAAUCCACUUUAUUCAUCUUGAAGUAUCUUUUUUCUAUCCGCUGGCCGCAGAAGAGUUAAAGAAAUUACACUUCCUCUUGUCUCCGUCGCCUAUUGACUGGAACAGAGAAGAAAGCAAUCUUUAAGAUAUUUUUUUAAUCUAGAAAAUUAAAAUAAAAAUUAAAAAUUUUGCAAACGAUAAAUUAUAAAUACGCUACAGUAAGGUAUGCUACAACGAACCACGUCAGAACCAACAAGUUUCAUGACUCAAAUCAAAAUAUUGUAAUAAACUGUACAAAGAUGCUACAACGAAUACGAAGAAAUAUCAGCUACUCCCCCGAUUUUUUCAUUCCGCCCUCGCUACGAUGAUUGAGAACUGCCACCAACUGACGAUUCUGAGUCUUUUGAAUUUCUCUUUUCCUUCGUUUAGUAAUAUUUAUUUUCAAACAAAAGAGCAAUUGCGUGAGAGAGUAUUUGUUACCGAAUAAAGGAGUUGACAAAGAGUAUUUGCCAGCAAACAAAAGGGCUGAUAAAGAUAAACGCCUAAACAUAUAAAUGAAUAAAAGCAUAAAUCCACAAUGUGGCAUGAGCAUGAGAAGGAACUAUGAAUUGCAAUUAGACGACACAUCGAUAUCGGCACAUGUUUGUUAGUUAAAUAUACAUGUAGAGUAUUCCAGAAUAGGUGAUACAACCAGGCAGGAGCUUAUUCUACUGCAUUUUGGUUUGGUUGAGAUAAGGCUGAGAUGAAAUAAAUAUUUGGUCGAAGACCGUGAGAGCUGCGAAGACAUUCUCAAGGUCAUCUUUCCAUUCUUAGUAAGUAAGUCGAUCACAAGAGAAUAUUUUGCGAAGUUUCAAUCAAAUACCCAUGGAUCAGUUUUCACAACAGGAUAAAUUUUGGUUGUACAGCACGUACUUCGAGUCUGAUAAGAUAUAUUACUCUAUUAAUGAUAUAGCUGCAUAAUUAUUUGAUAAGCGUCUAGAUAAGACUAGGGUACAAUGUUUAUAAAAGUUUUCAAAAGCAAUACAAAAAUGCUAUUGAUGAUUAAUUGAAGAAUUAUCGCGUUUCACGGAGGUAUUGAUGUCUAAAUUUGAAUCGUUGAAUAUAGACAUUUUAUGGCGAAGUAACAUUAUACAUAGGUAAUGAAAUGUGUGAAAUAUGUGAGAAGUAAAAACCGGAAUUAAUUGAAUAUGCUAAGAGGACUGUCCAAUUUAUAGCGAACAUAGAAAUAGAAAAUAUAUGCAAAUAAAAACAGCAGGCAAAUUAUGAAAACGAAAAGGAAAGUAUGUAAAUAAAUUUUGCUAGUUUGUACAGAGUGGAGUGAAAAUUAAAGUAAUUUGCAUAGAAAUAGCAUACCAUCGUUUAGGAAAAUGUGAUACUAAUUACUACGUAGUAAUAAGGACAAGAAUAACACUAGCUCGAAAGCAUAGUAAAAACCAACAUUAUAUCAAAGAAAUAUCAUUACUUUCCUAUUUAUAGUCAUAACCCAUUUAUUAUACGAGCUCGUAGUAAUAAUUACUCACUACAUUUAUCGCUAAUUUAUCACCUAUAAGAGAAGCGCUAAGUUGAUAACGUAAACACUUUGCAUAUUUAUUUAUGCAUACUGCCAUAAAUUAAAUAAUCCUCAGCUUAUUAAUGAUUGAUCAAGUAUAGUGUCAAUUACGAAAUUGGUGGAAUAUUUGUUUUAUAAUUUAUUUGUAUGUAGAUUUCUGUGACCGAUUGUAUGUAAUUCUUAUUACAUAGAAUCUAUACAAUUACACUGCAAAUAUUAAAUUUGCAGUAAUAACCAUGCACAAUAUAUUUUAUUAUAUAUGUAUUACUAUUAAUCAAUUUCAGCGGUUUAGAAUUGGUUUCAAUGUUAAAGUUUAAUAUUUGUUAUACCAAUAAAUUAUCUAACUCUCUAAUUCUAAUCUAAAUAGUCCAAUUUAUAAAUCCUCUUAUUAUAUAAUAUUUCGCAUUUUAGAAAAUUAUAUCAAUUUAAUAAAUUUAUGUGAUAAAUUUAUCACAGUAAAAUUAAAAUAUCCAGGACUAUUUCCUUUUUCAUGUUAUCUAUACAUCAUACAAAUAAAAAAAUAUAAAAUGUAAAAUUUGCACCCCCUGUGAGUGACAAAUGAAAAUUUGUCAAGUACGUGUUUUAUCACGCAAUAGUAUACUAUUGGUAAACUGGUAAAACGCAAAAAGAGAAGUAUGUUGUAUGAGUUAUAACUCUUGAAAGUCCAAGUAGCGAGUGAAUAUGCAUACAUAUAUAUUAAUGUACAUUAUCAAAUAUUACUUUAUUUACAUAUUCAAGUAUUCCUUUUCAACGUCAAAUAAUCACUCGAAUGAAUUAUAAUUUCUGGCUAAAAGAAAUAAAUCAGCUCCUUAUGUAUAAGUAUCGUGGAAACUAAAAGUUAUAAUAAUAAUAAAUUACAUUACAUUUGAUACAUCUCUUUUUAGAAGUCAAACUGAUUGACUAUUUGUUUGAUUAUGAUCUAUAGUAAAUAAUUCACUUCUAAAA